AUGUUGCAACAGGAGAUAAACAUGGAAAAUGUUGGUAACAUCGAUCCACUUAUUUCACAAGAUAGUGCACACCAAUUAACUCCUGGCAUGGAAGAAAGUUUCAACUCUUCGCUUAAUGGCCUGACACCACCGAAGGAAACAAUUGAAACACCUAAUGAUGAGACAACUGAUAGAAUAGAUACAGGUGAUAAUAUAGAGGCAUUGGCAUAA